rnacentral:rRNA from 1 species
AUUGAACGCUGGCGGCAGGCCUAACACAUGCAAGUCGAACGAGUGGCGGACGGGUGAGUAAUGUCUGGGAAACUGCCUGAUGGAGGGGGAUAACUACCGGAAACGGUAGCUAAUACCGCAUACCAUCGGAUGUGCCCAGAUGGGAUGAGCUAGUAGGGGGGGUAAAGGCUCACCUAGUCGACGAUCCCUAGCUGGUCUGAGGGGAUGACCAGACACACUGGAACUGAGACACGGUCCAGACGCCUACGGGAGGCAGCAGUGGGGAAUAUUGCACAAUGGGCGAAAGCCUGAUCCAGCCAUGCCGCGUGUGUGAAGAAGGUCUUCGGAUUGUAAAGCACUUUAAGUUGGGAGGCGUUACCAACAGAAUAAGCACCGGCUAACUUCGUGCCAGCAGCCGCGGUAAUUC